rnacentral:misc_RNA from 1 species
AAUACAUUUUUUUACACCUUCUCACACUUAAUGAAGGCUUGAGAUUAAUUUACACUCCUAGAAAUUAUUUAUUGCUUUCAUUCAAGUGCUUUAACUUCUAUUUGAGCUACAUUGGCAUAUCAACUCUCUCUCAUCUUUAUAGUUUCUGUUGUAUUAUGAGAGAUUGAGUGAAAAACAAUCUUUAAUAUUAUUAAUGAGGGUUGUUCAAGCACCUUGUGAAGCUUGAAGUGAGUGAAGUGUUUAGGAUAACACUUGUAGAGGUUUACAAGUGCCUUGAAGACUUGUGGAUGUAAAAAGCUUUCUCUUGCCAAUUGAAAAGAGGUUAUAGUGGAGUGAAGACUCAAGAAGGAACCUUAAGAGAGUGGAUAUAGGCUAGUUAAGCCGAACCACUA